GGGUUGUGAGGUUAAGCGACUAAGCGUACACGGUGGAUGCCCUGGCAGUCAGAGGCGAUGAAGGACGUGCUAAUCUGCGAUAAGCGUCGGUAAGGUGAUAUGAACCGUUAUAACCGGCGAUUUCCGAAUGGGGAAACCCAGUGUGUUUCGACACACUAUCAUUAACUGAAUCCAUAGGUUAAUGAGGCGAACCGGGGGAACUGAAACAUCUAAGUACCCCGAGGAAAAGAAAUCAACCGAGAUUCCCCCAGUAGCGGCGAGCGAACGGGGAGCAGCCCAGAGCCUGAAUCAGUGUGUGUGUUAGUGGAAGCGUCUGGAAAGGCGCGCGAUACAGGGUGACAGCCCCGUACACAAAAAUGCACAUGCUGUGAGCUCGAUGAGUAGGGCGGGACACGUGGUAUCCUGUCUGAAUAUGGGGGGACCAUCCUCCAAGGCUAAAUACUCCUGACUGACCGAUAGUGAACCAGUACCGUGAGGGAAAGGCGAAAAGAACCCCGGCGAGGGGAGUGAAAAAGAACCUGAAACCGUGUACGUACAAGCAGUGGGAGCACGCUUAGGCGUGUGACUGCGUACCUUUUGUAUAAUGGGUCAGCGACUUAUAUUCUGUAGCAAGGUUAACCGAAUAGGGGAGCCGAAGGGAAACCGAGUCUUAACUGGGCGUUAAGUUGCAGGGUAUAGACCCGAAACCCGGUGAUCUAGCCAUGGGCAGGUUGAAGGUUGGGUAACACUAACUGGAGGACCGAACCGACUAAUGUUGAAAAAUUAGCGGAUGACUUGUGGCUGGGGGUGAAAGGCCAAUCAAACCGGGAGAUAGCUGGUUCUCCCCGAAAGCUAUUUAGGUAGCGCCUCGUGAAUUCAUCUCCGGGGGUAGAGCACUGUUUCGGCAAGGGGGUCAUCCCGACUUACCAACCCGAUGCAAACUGCGAAUACCGGAGAAUGUUAUCACGGGAGACACACGGCGGGUGCUAACGUCCGUCGUGAAGAGGGAAACAACCCAGACCGCCAGCUAAGGUCCCAAAGUCAUGGUUAAGUGGGAAACGAUGUGGGAAGGCCCAGACAGCCAGGAUGUUGGCUUAGAAGCAGCCAUCAUUUAAAGAAAGCGUAAUAGCUCACUGGUCGAGUCGGCCUGCGCGGAAGAUGUAACGGGGCUAAACCAUGCACCGAAGCUGCGGCAGCGACGCUUAUGCGUUGUUGGGUAGGGGAGCGUUCUGUAAGCCUGCGAAGGUGUGCUGUGAGGCAUGCUGGAGGUAUCAGAAGUGCGAAUGCUGACAUAAGUAACGAUAAAGCGGGUGAAAAGCCCGCUCGCCGGAAGACCAAGGGUUCCUGUCCAACGUUAAUCGGGGCAGGGUGAGUCGACCCCUAAGGCGAGGCCGAAAGGCGUAGUCGAUGGGAAACAGGUUAAUAUUCCUGUACUUGGUGUUACUGCGAAGGGGGGACGGAGAAGGCUAUGUUGGCCGGGCGACGGUUGUCCCGGUUUAAGCGUGUAGGCUGGUUUUCCAGGCAAAUCCGGAAAAUCAAGGCUGAGGCGUGAUGACGAGGUACUACGGUGCUGAAGCAACAAAUGCCCUGCUUCCAGGAAAAGCCUCUAAGCAUCAGGUAACAUCAAAUCGUACCCCAAACCGACACAGGUGGUCAGGUAGAGAAUACCAAGGCGCUUGAGAGAACUCGGGUGAAGGAACUAGGCAAAAUGGUGCCGUAACUUCGGGAGAAGGCACGCUGAUAUGUAGGUGAAGUCCCUCGCGGAUGGAGCUGAAAUCAGUCGAAGAUACCAGCUGGCUGCAACUGUUUAUUAAAAACACAGCACUGUGCAAACACGAAAGUGGACGUAUACGGUGUGACGCCUGCCCGGUGCCGGAAGGUUAAUUGAUGGGGUUAGCCGCAAGGCGAAGCUCUUGAUCGAAGCCCCGGUAAACGGCGGCCGUAACUAUAACGGUCCUAAGGUAGCGAAAUUCCUUGUCGGGUAAGUUCCGACCUGCACGAAUGGCGUAAUGAUGGCCAGGCUGUCUCCACCCGAGACUCAGUGAAAUUGAACUCGCUGUGAAGAUGCAGUGUACCCGCGGCAAGACGGAAAGACCCCGUGAACCUUUACUAUAGCUUGACACUGAACAUUGAGCCUUGAUGUGUAGGAUAGGUGGGAGGCUUUGAAGUGUGGACGCCAGUCUGCAUGGAGCCGACCUUGAAAUACCACCCUUUAAUGUUUGAUGUUCUAACGUUGACCCGUAAUCCGGGUUGCGGACAGUGUCUGGUGGGUAGUUUGACUGGGGCGGUCUCCUCCUAAAGAGUAACGGAGGAGCACGAAGGUUGGCUAAUCCUGGUCGGACAUCAGGAGGUUAGUGCAAUGGCAUAAGCCAGCUUGACUGCGAGCGUGACGGCGCGAGCAGGUGCGAAAGCAGGUCAUAGUGAUCCGGUGGUUCUGAAUGGAAGGGCCAUCGCUCAACGGAUAAAAGGUACUCCGGGGAUAACAGGCUGAUACCGCCCAAGAGUUCAUAUCGACGGCGGUGUUUGGCACCUCGAUGUCGGCUCAUCACAUCCUGGGGCUGAAGUAGGUCCCAAGGGUAUGGCUGUUCGCCAUUUAAAGUGGUACGCGAGCUGGGUUUAGAACGUCGUGAGACAGUUCGGUCCCUAUCUGCCGUGGGCGCUGGAGAAUUGAGGGGGGCUGCUCCUAGUACGAGAGGACCGGAGUGGACGCAUCACUGGUGUUCGGGUUGUCAUGCCAAUGGCACUGCCCGGUAGCUAAAUGCGGAAGAGAUAAGUGCUGAAAGCAUCUAAGCACGAAACUUGCCCCGAGAUGAGUUCUCCCUGACUCCUUGAGAGUCCUGAAGGAACGUUGAAGACGACGACGUUGAUAGGCCGGGUGUGUAAGCGCAGCGAUGCGUUGAGCUAACCGGUACUAAUGAACCGUGAGGCUUAACCUUACAACGCCGAAGCUGUU
rnacentral:rRNA from 1 species